rnacentral:rRNA from 1 species
AUUGAACGCUGGCGGCAAGCCUAACACAUGCAAGUCGAACGAGUGGCGGACGGGUGAGUAAUGUCUGGGAAACUGCCUGAUGGAGGGGGAUAACUACUGGAAACGGUAGCUAAUACCGCAUACCAUCGGAUGUGCCCAGAUGGGAGUAGCUAGUAGGUGGGGUAAAGGCUCACCAAGGCGACGAUCCCUAGCUGGUCUGAGAGGAUGACCAGCCAAACAGAAACUGAGACACGGGCCAGACGCCUACGGGAGGCAGAAGUGGGGAAUAUUGCACAAUGGGCGCAAGCCUGAUGCAGCCAUGCGGCGUGUAUGAAGAAGGCCUUCGGGUUGUAAAGUACUUUCAGCGGGGAGGCGUUACCCGCAGAAGAAGCACCGGCUAACUCCGUGCCAGCCGCCGCGGUAAUAC